UAAAGCGUGCGUAGGCGGCUUUUUAAGUCGGAUGUGAAAUCCCCGAGCUUAACUUGGGAAUUGCAUUCGAUACUGGGAAGCUAGAGUAUGGGAGAGGAUGGUAGAAUUCCAGGUGUAGCGGUGAAAUGCGUAGAGAUCUGGAGGAAUACCGAUGGCGAAGGCAGCCAUCUGGCCUAAUACUGACGCUGAGGUACGAAAGCAUGGGGAGCAAACAGGAUUAGAACCCGAGU
rnacentral:rRNA from 1 species